GUGAGUUUUUGGCCACUGAGAAAAAUCGUAUUUAAACACACGUAAAAAAACGAUAUUUUUACGUGAAAAUAUAUCAUUUGUUGUAAAACGCAUUGCCACGGACAUUUAUUUCUCGUGUUGAACAUGAUAUCUCACUCGUUCGCUGCGCUCACUCGUGAGAUAUCAUGUUCAACACUCGAAAUAAAUCUGGUAUUUCCGCGUUCCCAUGUAUUAUUCUCUAUUUAAUGCAUGUAUGUUGAAAUAUGCGCAUCGCACGCGAUUGUUAUGUAUAUUAAUGAGUGAAAUUUUAAAAGAUUUGUGCAUGAUAAAGCCAACUUCACUUAAAACCAUAGCGUGCACAACUAGGAUUUAGUCUUUUAGUGGGACAGGUGCAGACUGCAGAGUAUACUAUAAAACUCCGAUCAAACACUAGGACCAGGG